GGGGGCGAAAGGUUUCGACGGGGAUGAUGGAAACCGGGGUUGCGUGCCGAGGUCUCCGGUUGGCCUCGUAAAAAAACCGGAAAAAACUCAAGUGCCAACGAGCCGCAAUUCGCACUGGCCGCUUAAUUAGCGGUUAGGCUCACCGGCGGCUACGGCCGUCGGCGUUCCACCCGGAUUCACCCGGGGUCUGGGCUGGGACGUCAUUCACUGGGUUGGUUCUCCGCGCGGGCACCUUGCGCGGGGGGCGAGAUCUUAGGGCGCUGGCACGGCGCGAAGCCUGUUUGUGGGCGUCGCGCCGGGUAAGAUUCAAAACACAAUCUACGCACGUAGAUGCCCUGGAUGAAGCGUUCUCGGACGCGGGUUCGAAUCCCGCCGCCUCCACCA
rnacentral:tmRNA from 1 species